AGAGAGUUGCCUAGGGUAUACCUCCCAACCCUUUGUUUAUCGUACCUUAGUUGCUUUGGCGGGCCGGGACACGGCUUCCUGCAUGGAUCAGUGCACCGCCAGGAGGAAUCCAAACUCUGUUUGUUAUAUUGGCAUCUCUGAGUAGCUAUAUAAUAGUUA
rnacentral:misc_RNA from 1 species